UACGUAGGAUCCAAGCGUUGUCCGGAUUUACUGGGUGUAAAGGGUGCGCAGGCGGACUGGUGAGUCUGGGGUGAAAUCCCACAUGUUAACUGUGGAAGUGCAUUAGAAACUGUUGGAUUUGAGUUCAGGAGAGGAAGGCAGAAUUCCCGGUGUAGCGGUGAAAUGCGUAGAGAUCGGGAGGAAUACCAGUGGCGAAGGCGGCCUUCUGGACUGACACUGACGCUGAGGCGCGAAAAGCCAGGGGAGCAAACGGG
rnacentral:rRNA from 1 species